GCUGCAGUGGGGAAUAUUGGACAAUGGGGGAAACCCUGAUCCAGCAAUGCCGCGUGGGUGAAGAAGGCUUGCGGGUUGUAAAGCCCUUUCAGCAAGGAGGAAAAGCAUUCGGUUAAUACCCGGACGUCUUGACGUUACUUGCAGAAGAAGCACCGGCUAACUCCGUGCCAGCAGCCGCGGUAAUACGGAGGGUGCAAGCGUUAAUCGGAAUUACUGGGCGUAAAGCGCACGCAGGCGGUUUGUUAAGUCAGAUGUGAAAUCCCCGGGCUCAACCUGGGAACUGCAUCUGAUACUGGCAAGCUUGAGUCUCGUAGAGGGGGGUAGAAUUCCAGGUGUAGCGGUGAAAUGCGUAGAGAUCUGGAGGAAUACCGGUGGCGAAGGCGGCCCCCUGGACGAAGACUGACGCUCAGGUGCGAAAGCGUGGGGAGCAAACAGGAUUAGAUACCCUG
rnacentral:rRNA from 1 species